rnacentral:rRNA from 1 species
CUGCUGCCUCCCGUAGGAGUAUGGACCGUUCUCAGUUCCAUUGUGGCCGUUCAACCUCUCAGUCCGGCUACGCAUCAUCGCCUUGGUAGGCCCUUACCCCACCAACUAGCUAAUGCGCCACAGGCCCCUCCUUAAGCAGAUCUCUCUUUUAAAUAUAAAAGAUUCUUCCUCUAUAUCCUAUCCAGUUUUAUCCAUCGUUUCCAAUGGCUAUCCUCGUCUUAAGGGUAGGUUACCUAUGUAUUACUCACCCGUUCGCCACUAAA